rnacentral:lncRNA from 1 species
AAGAAUCCAAAUAUCGCCCCUCUCAUUCAUUAGUUUUAGCAUCCAAUUCCUCAAAAUAUGUGCCUAACUUUUAUCCACAUUUUAGCACAUGAUAGUGCAAAUUCACAUCAUCACCUAUGCCAAAAUGAGUAUGUCUUGCUUUAGUAAAAGGCCAAAAUGUUUUAUAAGAGGUUUGAAAGGAUCACAGAUUCAGUACAAUGUAAAAACCUUAAAAGUUUGGAAAGCAAGAGAAUAUACUAGCAUAAAUAAAAAUUCGC